GCAGUCUUACUGACGUUCAUGCUCGAAGGUGCGGGUAUCGAACAGGAUUAGAUACCCUGGUAGUCCGCACGGUAAACGAUGGAUGCCCGCUGUUGGCGACACACUGUCAGCGGCCAAGCGAAAGCAUUAAGCAUCCCACCUGGGGAGUACGCCGGCAACGGUGAAACUCAAAGGAAUUGACGGGGGCCCGCACAAGCGGAGGAACAUGUGGUUUAAUUCGAUGAUACGCGAGGAACCUUACCCGGGCUUGAACUGCAGGAGAACGAUUCAGAGAUGAUGAGGUCCUUCGGGACUCCUGUGGAGGUGCUGCAUGGUUGUCGUCAGCUCGUGCCGUGAGGUGUCGGCUUAAGUGCCAUAACGAGCGCAACCCCUCUCUUCAGUUGCCAUCAGGUUUUGCUGGGCACUCUGGAGACACUGCCACCGCAAGGUGUGAGGAAGGUGGGGACGACGUCAAAUCAGCACGGCCCUUACGUCCGGGGCUACACACGUGUUACAAUGGGUGGUACAGAGAGUAAGUCCCCAGCAAUGUGGAUUCAAUCAUGAAAGCCAUCCUCAGUUCGGAUUGGGGUCUGCAACCCGACCCCAUGAAGCUGGAUUCGC
rnacentral:rRNA from 1 species